CUUGCAUAUCCAUUGGACUUUUUCCAUUAAACAUUUUUGAUCGUAAACAGUUGUUACUCAAAACACAGCCAGGUGCAACUUUGCUAAACUGCGUACAAUUUAGGAUACUACUGAGGAGAUUACCAUUGUGGGAGCCAGGAGGAGGAAAGCCAAGAGGACAAUUCAGACCCAGAGCUGAGGUGGCUCCAAAAAACCCAGCAACUCAAGGACAAGAAAAUGAGACGACAGAAGCUGUAUUCAAAUGUGAUCCGUGAGCAGAACAAGAAGAUAAGUAGGAUUACCUUUCUGCCGGACGCCAAGAACCCAUUGGGCAGUGACAACAAGG
rnacentral:lncRNA from 1 species